UCCUAAACAAACACUUAAUUACAUGACUAUAUAUAGAUAUGUAGAUCUGUAUAUAUGUCACACUACAUAUAUAAAUAUGUGUAUAUCUUGUUUGUCAUUCUCUCUUUUUAGAAUGAUAAAUUCUUUAUUACCAGUCAUGCUUUUGUCUUUCUCUGUUAUCAAACAUCAAACAUCAAACAUUCAUUAUAUGUAAAAGAAAAACACUUCAAUUUGUGCACAUAUAUAGAUAUAAACAUUUAUAUAUGUAUCGCCUCAACUGUGUACAUAUAUAAUAUGUUAAUACCUUGACUGACUUUCUCAUUUUCUGGAAUGAAAAAUUCUUCGUUGCCCAUCGUGCUACAUCCCUCAUCUGUUACCAAAUAUGAAGCAUUCAUUACACUUAAAAGCAAGAACAAAAGCAAUACAUACACAACACAUGAUUGCCAAAAUUUGAGCAUUAGUGGUUUU
rnacentral:lncRNA from 1 species